GGUCCGCUGGCUCAAUGGCAGAGCGUCUGACUACGAAUCAGGGGUCGAACCUGGAACCUCCUGGGUGGAUCG
rnacentral:tRNA from 1 species